CAACUGGCCUGAAUAUACUGUGUUCCUUUCCUGGAGAAGGGGGGAGCAGCCCAGAGGUCCAGUAUACGGCACAGCGUUCAAACAGACACCAUUCCAUAGAUGCCUUUAAAAAUCAGAUUAAAGUUUUCUAACGAGGCUGUGUGGGGUUUUGUUUCUGGACUCCAACUGGGCAAUCUCAGAGAACGGGAUUGUCCCGGAGGAGAAACCCGGAGAACAUUACCAUCAGCUGUCCAUUUAAAGCAGAGGGUGUGUGGUGGGAAGGGGAGGGAAGCCGGAGGCCAGGAGGCCAGGAGGUGUCGCGGCAGGAGAGAAAGGCCGGGGGGACCUGUGUGCACAGCCUUUGCAGACUGCAUGCCCUGCCUCGCCUGCUGGUAACCGGGAGGAACAGCGGCUGCGUACGUCCUCGCCUAGGAUGGUCCAGAAACUCCAGACGUCCUGUCGCCUUCUCACCUCCUCCGCUGAGAGCUGCAGAUCCUUCGCUGACAGACAGGGAGGGAAAUGUGCAAAUGCUGUGGGAAGGCCUAAAGGAGACCAUGAUGUGGAUUCUAGAUAAGGAAAUAGGACACAGGUGCCAUGAAAAGGAGUUCCCUGCUUUGAGAAAACUAAAAUCUAACUGAUUUCAUUGUGGAAACUUCAUUAUGUGGAUGCUCAUUAUCUAUAAAGCUUUCCUGUGUACUGGACAAACAUACCAAGGCCCACAAAUACCAGGGCAAAGGACCCAGAUCUAUCCCCAGUGCAUGGAGUUCAGGAUGAGCAGGGUAGAGAUUCUCAUUGUAAACCCCAAAGAGAAAUCAACCAACUUCUGCUUUCCCAGUGCAGCUCUUACAAGCAAGCUGAAGCUGGAAGAGAAGGACCAGCAGACAUGCAGAUGAAUACAGCUCACUGAGAUCCAGGACCAACCAGGAUACUGACCGUGGCUGUGUAAUUGCCUCGGCACUUCUCAGAUGGACACAGUACUUCUUGCCUUUUGUAGUCUUCAUGGCUGGUCAGAGGGCUCUUAACAGAACUGUGGUCAAGACUUUCUUAAGGAGAAGACAAUUCUGCCACAGGAAAAUGUUAACACACUGGCUUCCCCUCCCCCUUCCUCCAGAUUUCUCAGUAGCAAUGCCAUCUGUACUGGAAGCCAGUUCGAACAGCCUUGGCCCAGAAAAUCAAACCUCGGUUUCGAAAUAAAGCCAAAGAGCUGCUUUUCAGCCAUAUAUCUACAGUUAGAUUCAGGUGAGUUACACAUGAGGUCUCAUGCCUUAGAGCUAACACAUCUCCUCCAUCAUAGCAAUCAAAACGUAUUUGCAGUCACGUGCUCUCCUACGUUAGUGCUCUUGGAUAGAUUUGAAUAACACUGACAGGAAGCACUUAAUUUUCUCACAUUUUC